CAUACCCUCGCUGCUUCUACCAGCUCCCGGGGGCCAGGAACUAGGCUGGGGUGGUAGAAACCGGCUUUAGAAGCAAUGCGGGUCAGCAGGAAACAAGUGAGUGAAGCAUAGCCAGUGACUUAUAAAACCAUAAGCAAAUGCAGCAUGCUGAAUGCAGCAAGUGUAAGUUAAAGAGAGAGAGGAGGUGAUAAGGGUGGGACAUAUGUGAAGACAGAAAGGCAGGCGACUUUGAUUGAAUGCAGCUUGCCCACCAGCUCCAGCACGGAAGAGAAGACAGCCCACAGGGUAGUGGUUGAGACCCUGGAACGCAGAAUCAAGAGAUUUGGUUUCAGGCCUGUCUGUGCCCCAUUUGUAAAAUGGGAAUGAUAAUAGCACCCACCUCCUAGGGCUGUCGUGGAGGCACUUAGCAGAGUGCCAGGCACACAGGGCAGGGGCAGCCAUGUGACGUCCCCCAGUCUGUGGGUGGUCCCACUUGCUUUCCUGACUCCAGCCUUCACUCUCCACCGGAUUACUGGAU